ACGAACGCUGGCGGCGCGCUUAACACAUGCAAGUCGAACGGAAGGGCCCUGCUUUUGUGGGGUGCUCGAGUGGCGAACGGGUGAGUAACACGUGAGUAACCUGCCCUUGACUUUGGGAUAACUUCAGGAAACUGGGGCUAAUACCGGAUAGGAGCUCCUGCUGCAUGGUGGGGGUUGGAAAGUUUCGGCGGUUGGGGAUGGACUCGCGGCUUAUCAGCUUGUUGGUGGGGUAGUGGCUUACCAAGGCUUUGACGGGUAGCCGGCCUGAGAGGGUGACCGGCCACAUUGGGACUGAGAUACGGCCCAGACUCCUACGGGAGGCAGCAGUGGGGAAUAUUGCACAAUGGGCGGAAGCCUGAUGCAGCAACGCCGCGUGCGGGAUGACGGCCUUCGGGUUGUAAACCGCUUUCGCCUGUGACGAAGCGUGAGUGACGGUAAUGGGUAAAGAAGCACCGGCUAACUACGUG
rnacentral:rRNA from 1 species